GCAACGAAGAGUAGCCCCCGCUCGCCGCAACCAGAGAAAGCCCGCGGGCAGCAAUGAAGACCCAACGCAGCCAAAAAUAAAACAAAUUUUAAAAAAAGAACGCAAUGGAUAUUUCAGAUCUGAAAGAUACAAUAAUUAAAAUAAAAGGCUCCAUGGAUGGACGGACACAACAAAAGAAUGGAGGCAACAGAGGAAAUGAUGUAAAACACAAGGAUAAAAAUUACUCAGUCUGAACACCAGUGAGAACAUAUUCUGGAAAAGCAUGAGAACAGACUCUCAAUGACCUCACAUCCCUGGGAUCUGAAUCCUAAAACCAGAGGAGAAAGAGAAUAAGACUGGAAAACUAUUCAAGAAAUAAUGGCUGAAAUUUCCCCAAACUUCGCAGAAGCCAUGAGUCUAUGCAUAUAUGAAACUCAGUGAACCCCAAACAGGAUGAGCCCCAAGAAAUCUAAUGCAAGAUGCAUCACAAUCCAGAAAAAGAGGAAGAAGUUCCUUGCAUGCAGUGAGACAGAAAUGCCUCCUCACUGUGGAGGGAACCCACCACUCACGUGACCUUGGACUUAUCAGAAGGUAGUGGCACAACAGUUUCAAGUGCUGAAAGAAAAGAACUGUCGAUCCCCAAAGCUAUGCAUUGUGAAACUAUCCUUCAGGAAUGAAGGGGACAUAAAGACAAUCUCAGGUGAAGGAAAACUGAGAGGAUUUAUCACAAGCAGCAACAAAGACCCAACGCAGCCAAAAAUAAAAUUAAUUAAUUAAAACAAAAACUGCUCCUGGCAGGCUCCUGGUUCCCAACAGACACUGACUGAUUGACAAAGAGACAUCAAGUGUCUGUGCAGCUGAAACUUCCCAUGAUGAGCCAGGUGUUGUCAUUCCCACCAAGUCAUUGGGUUGCAACCCACUGUUGGAUGAGUGGUAAACCUGGGGCCAGGAAUAGGUCCGCAGAACAAGAGCCUCACUGCAGACAGGGUCCUUAACAGCCAAGGGGACAGGACGCCUGGUUCAGUGGAUGUUCGCCAGCCUCUGCCUCCUUGCUUACACACUGGGCCUUUGAAGGAUGGCCGUGGAGACAGAGAUGGAGGCUAGUCAUCAGCCUGGAAUCAGGGACUGGCUGCCAUUCACCGAGAGUGAUUUAACUACAGAUACUGCUGAAUGUCCAUUGUGUCAGCAGAGGAAAGGAACACUUGAGUCCUUAACAUUGUAUCAUUUCUUAUGGAAGCAAAUCAGACACGUGGUUGCAGGUUGACUUCAUCCUGGUGGAAUGGACACUGGUUGAGCCUGGUAUGACUAGUAUGCAUGUGUAUGUAUACUGAGACAUGAAAUGUACCCCCUUUGUGCUGUUUGAUCAGCUUUGGCAAAUGUAGAAAUUCACGUAGCAACUGUCACCACAAUCAACAUAUAAAACAUUGCCAUCACUCCUGAAAUUCCAUGGUGACCUUUUUAGUCAACCUACACCCUCCAAACCCACACUGAACCAAACAGCAACCAGUGCUCCUCACUAGGAAUUAGUUUUACAAGGUCUAGAAUUUCAUAAAAAUGGAACUAUAAAGUCUGUACUCUUCUGUAUCUGCCCUCUUUUGUUCAGUAUAAUGUUUUGAUUCAUCAACUUUAUUGGUAUCUCAUUUGAGUUUUCAUUUCUCUAAUUAUUAUAGAUGUUAAGCAGUU